GGAUCAGAGAACGCGUCUGGUCUGGUGCGUCCGUCCGUGCGUGCGCCUGUGUGUGUGUGUGUUUGCGCGCGAGUCUGUGUGCGUUUCAGUGUGUGUUUGUUUUUUCAGCUGGGGGAGAGAAAGCAGAGCGAGCCCGGACGAGUAGCAGACAGACAGUAGCUGUGGCGGCGGAGGUUCCAAACGGAUAGCUCUGGACGUGUAAAAUGUAGGGCACGCUAGCCGCUGCUACCACCUCCACUUCCCAGCUCCGGCUCCUGCUCCUGCUCCAGCUAUCAUCCAGUUGAUUUAGCUAUCUGCCUUUCUCCACAGUGCGUAGAUGCAGCAGUGAGGGAGCACAAAAAGACAGCUAAGGACAUUGCAAGCUCCACUUCUUCUGUGUUUACCAAUGCUGGCUUAUCCUAGCUGACAGAACUGGCAUGUAAAAACUAUCAUCUAUCGUCCUUGGAGAGUGUCGAGACAGAUCGGGAAGCCCAAAUUCCGAUCAUGAAUUCUUGCUGGAAGAUGAAGAUCCAGGUUUUGUCCCCGCUCUCGUGCUCUGCCUGGUUAUUGGACAAACUGAUUGAGAGUGAGUCACUGUCUGUCCAACCUGAGUGACCUCUAUUAGCAAGUGUGCGUCAGAGCAUCCGCCGAACAGGAGUCCACCGGAGCACACAAACUGGGACCAUGGAGAUAACCAACUGGCUUAUCUAAACAGACUUGGUGUGAUUUACAAUGGUUAGGAGGGGGUUGUCACUUCCCCCAAAGAAGAAAUGCUGACACUUCAAGGCGACGAUUCAAGGCGGGAACCUGCUCAACAUAUUAUAUGCAUAUUCAUAUGGAUGUUUAUAAAAACUGUGUUGAAGUAUUCAGAAGGGGUCAGAUGCCUGAUGUAAGCCCUAUGUAACUUUGUAGGCAGUUAGGGACAACGAUCUGACCCAGAGCUCUGUAUUAGAAUUGUAUUGUAUAGGGAAUAAAUUAUUUUUGAUUUUAA